AGCCUCAGCAAUGAUGGGCACCCCUC
rnacentral:piRNA from 1 species